CAGUGGCAAAGAAUCUGGUAUAUGCUGAUUCAGAUGAAACAUUUCAAGAUGAAUGGAAUUGCUUUUGUCAGACCCCAGAAGCCCAAAAGUAUAACCAGUACAUGAGAUAUAGGCUACCGUACAAGAGGGAAAAAAUACAUACGUUGGUAUCUGGCAAAGCUGAUAGAAAGGAAGGAAGAAUGGAGUACUGUGUACAGGGCUGGAUUUUUGCUACGUGGACACCACACAAAUAAUUUUGCAGAAUCUACCAUGUGCAUCAUUAAAGAUAUCAUUCUCAACAGGUUAGUGUGCCAUUUGUCAUUAUAUAUACCUCAGUCAAGCUAUAAACGUCUAAUAGGUCGAUGAACGGGGUCGUUCAUAGCGAAUUCGUUCAUAGUUAAUACUGUAUGCUAUGGGAAAAAGGCUAAUAGGUCAAUCAGCCCUCUCCUAAACCUAACUUUCAGCCCUAUUUUACCUGUUUUCCGGGAAAAAAUGGGGUUAAACAUGGAAUACAUUGUACACAUAAAGAAAAUGGUAAAGUGACCUCUGACACGUCAUAUAAAACAUGUAUUAUAUUCCUUAUAAUGUUUGUAUAUGCAGGAACCCAUCGAUGACUGACGAAUUUCCAAUGAUGUACUUUUUCCAAUAAUCCUCCCCAGUGGCGUAGCCAGUGGGGGGGCCAUAGGGGAGAUUGCCCCCUAGGCAAAUUUCUAGGAAAAUUUUUUGAGACGUUGGAAGAGAUUUUGACUUUGUAUAUUAUUUGUCAUAAAAAUACAGAUAUCCCUAUUGAAGAAAGGGAAGAAAUACAGUUUUCCCCAUACAAGAUAGGGAAGAAAUUCAGUUUUCACCUUAGAAGAUAGAGAAGAAAUACAGUUUUCCCCAUACAAGAUAGGGAAGAAAUUCAGUUUUCACCUUAGAAGAUAGAGAAGAAAUACAGUUUUCCCCAUACAAGAUAGGGAAGAAAUUCAGUUUUCACCUUAGAAGAUAGAGAAGAAAUACAGUUUUCCCCAUACAAGAUAGGGA